rnacentral:lncRNA from 1 species
UAUUUAUUUAUUUAUUUUGUAUUUGCUUCAUUCAGAGAGGCCGCGAGACGAAAGAGGAGGAAGAGGAGGAGGUGGAGCCGGCGAGAUCGUUGGACCAAAGGCUGAAUACGUGUGCGUCAUAACGGGGCAACAGCCGAGGACCCCUGGGUGCUGCUGUACUGCUACUGCUGACAAGUGCCUAAUGUGGAUUAUCGUGAGACCAAAGCUGGACUGAGUCACUCUAUUCAAUGAUAAAAGCAGCAGGAAACCAGGACUAAACCAGGACUAAGCCAGGUCAUGUUUUAUUGAGAUGGAAAUGCACGAUACAGAAGCCCUCUAGGGACACACCGUACCUGCCACUGUCAGCGUUACAACAGGCACGAAU